rnacentral:rRNA from 1 species
CCUACGGGAGGCAGCAGUGGGGAAUAUUGGACAAUGGGCGAAAGCCUGAUCCAGCAAUGCCGCGUGAGUGAUGAAGGCCUUAGGGUUGUAAAGCUCUUUUACCAGGGAUGAUAAUGACAGUACCUGGAGAAUAAGCUCCGGCUAACUCCGUGCCAGCAGCCGCGGUAAUACGGAGGGAGCUAGCGUUAUUCGGAAUUACUGGGCGUAAAGCGUACGUAGGCGGUUAUUCAAGUCAGAGGUGAAAGCCCGGGGCUCAACCCCGGAACUGCCUUUGAAACUAGAUAACUAGAGUCUUGGAGAGGUUAGUGGAAUUCCGAGUGUAGAGGUGAAAUUCGUAGAUAUUCGGAAGAACACCAGUGGCGAAGGCGACUAACUGGACAAGUACUGACGCUGAGGUACGAAAGCGUGGGGAGCAAACAGGAUUAGAUACCCUGGUAGUCCACGCCGUAAACGAUGAUAACUAGCUGUCCGGGCACUUGGUGCCUGGGUGGCGCAGCUACGACAUUAAGUUAUCCGUCCGUCGGGUAGGUACGGUCGCGAAGAAUUAAACUAACAAUAGAAUUAGACGGCGUGAGACGUGCCGAACGGACGACGACGAGGGAGGUAGG